GACAGGAAGAACUUUAGCUUGUCCAGCUUUACCUAUUCUGUCUAUGAAAAGUUACACCUGCUGUAUGUCUAUCUGUCAUGCAGAUGUUAAAGAUCACCAGAGUGUCCAGAUCCAGAUCCUGUCCAGAUCACCAGAGUGGCAGAAGCGUGCUUCAAGGGACUGACAUCAUGCAGUCCUUCCAAUAAUGCUUAUGAAGGCAUUCACAUAAUAAUCUCUUUAUGGAUCUUAUCUUUUAUCCUGAAUUAAAUGUUCCUAAAAAUGAAGUUGAAUAAUCUCCUCUGGGAAAGAUUGUUGGAAGGAUGGUAGUAUGCCCACCAUGAGCAAUUACAUUAGCUUUAGUCUGUGACUCACAGACUGUUUAAAUGGGCAUUCUUGUACUGCUACCAUGAUUUAAAAUAUGACAUUACACUAGUGUUGAACAGACUUGAGAGAUACAAAUGCCAAUACAAAUAUUUAGCGGUCAGAAUGUAAAAUGGAUGGUAAGAUUAAGUGUUUCAUAUGCAAGAUUAAGUGUUUCAUGGAUGAUAUUGUUGCUUCUAUUAGCCAGCUAACUAGAUGUUGCAUUGUGUGACUUGAAUUCCACUUCAGAAUUCCUACUGAUUCCACUUUAAAAAUGAACCGACCCAAAUUACACAUGCUUUAAAUAUUGUUCUUACAUCAUUUCCCAGAACUGUGACAGCUUUUCAUAAUUCCCCACCCUCACCUCCUUCAUUUUCAUCCAGGGUUCAAAUUACAGAGCACUGCAUUCACAUUCAGGGACAAACUAGAUAAGAUGCAGAUUUGUGGUCAAAUCUUCUGAUUUUUAAAAUGAUCUGAGAACAGCCAGGCAAAUUGGAUUGCCGUCUUAGUGAUGAGGGAGGGUUAACCUCCCCCAACCCCCACCCUUUCUCCCUGCAUUGUCUCCCAGAUUUAAAUUGCCCUUCUGAUGCUGUGGUGGGGAAAAUGAUACUCAUAUUUAAUUAUCUGUGGCUCAUAGCACUUUCAGCAGAGGGUUUGAAUCAGGGUAAUGGCAUACAUAGUGGAAGAGUUAACUCCUUAGUCCCCUACAGUUGCAAACUUGAUCUACUUCCUUUGUCCCAGAUUGGUUACAAUAUAGCCCCGCCCCACUCAAGUUUUUAAAAAGGUUGGGGGAUCCAAUCAUGGAACUCCCAUGAAACAUUAGUUUGGUUUUCAGUGACAUUAUUACAUCUAACAUCUAACAGGUAUCAGCUUGACUGUGUUGAUUCACAUAAUUUAGGUAAUGAAAUUUUGUGGUUUCAUGAAGGCACACAUCAUUGCUUAACAACAUCCCAUUUGCAACAUCAUAUCUGAUCGGGAGCAUACAUCCAUGUAUUCUUAUCUGUGGCUUUCAUUUCUAAAGACAGAGACAAAAAUAGCUAUGAAAAAAAUGGCAUGAAGUUUAAAAAAUGAAUAUUUGCAUAAUUUUUCUACUAGUUAGAUUUUUCAAAAAAUCUACCCCAUAUUUUGAAAUGAAAAUCAUGAACUGCAAAAAUUGAUUGAUUACUGAACUUUUGGAGUUGAUUCAGUCAUUUCUUGCUCCGUAUUUUUGCAUUUCAUAGCCCUGUACAUAUAAUGCAUUAAGCAAAAAGUAAAAUGACAUUACAUUAUGUGUGACCUGCGUACAAAGGUUCAUAUAACAUUUUCCUUCAAUAUUGCAUUUGUGAUUAUGUUCCUGAUUAUACAGUCUUGUAAUAAAAGUCAAAUUACUGAUAUGACACAUUCAGAGCAAAGGUUAGGUAAUUAAUUCCCACAUCAUACUGCUUUUCUUGGCAGCUAUCAAACAUUCCUAUGACUUUAUUAUAUAAUGCUUUUAAAUUGCCAGUUCCACAAUGACCUUUAUGUUUGUAAAGAGUUGUGUUCAAUAGGUCAGUAUUUUUGUACAUUUUAACAUCUCUUUCAGAUUCUGUUUCUUGUUGACACUUUCCCUUUCAUUUCACAGGCCAUCUUAUCACAGACUGACCCGCAUUGUUAACAAGUUAUGGAAGUCCAUGGAUUCUUUUCACUGAAUGGUUAUAAUUUCAAAGGCCCAGGGUUUUAUGGGAUGGUAUUAGAGAGUAUUAUCCUAUAUGAUAAAUACAGUUUGACCAUGGUAGCUACAACAAGCCCUCCUUGGCUUGUGCUAGUUUUAAACUUCUUAGGUCAGCCCUUUCUGCAACUGAUGCAAACCAUACUUCAUCAUGCCGCAGUGCUUUGCCAGCUCAUGACAUAUGUGUGGAUCACAAUUUGGUACGACAGCAGCAGCAAGCACAUUUUAGCCAGGAAAGAUUCACCUUCCAAAACCUGAUCAUGAAGAUGGUUUCCCUAAACAUUGGGAAGCAUGGCUUUCCCAAGAAGGAGCAGUCAUUGCUCCUUCUUGGACAUGCACUUCUUGAGAUUGGUUGGUGAAAUAAUAGUGCAAACUGGACUGGAUAUGGAUACAGCCACAGCUAUCCUCAUGAUAGUCAUGGUUGGGGAAAAUGCAGACGUAAUAAUGGAAAUGUCAGCAGAUGGUCUCUGUGUAAUAGUCUGGCUUCUCCUCAGGUGAUAUGGGUGCUGUGGCUGUUUGCUUAUUGAAGACUUUGGCCUGGUUUUCUAUUGACUGAACCACCUUCUGAUUUUUUGGUUCAAAGGAUAGGCUUUGGGCCACAUUUGAACUUUGCUGAUCAGCUCAUCUUAGGAAGUUAUGAAAAUUCUGGUUAUUUAAUGAGUUGUCAAAAUGCAUCCAAGGGACUGAGCAGAUCAGGGUUACAUGAAGUUAAAACAUUUGUGACGUGAAGAUGAGACCAUGGAAGAAAAAUUGAUUUGACAUCCUCCCCACUCCUUAAAAUAAAGUCCUACUUGGCAUACUGCAAGGCAUAUUUGGGUCUUAAAAAGAGGAACUACAUCCACAGGAGGCAAGAAAGAUCUAUAUAUGCAAACAGGGAUUUUAUUGCAUGCAACAAAUAUUCAGAAUGUUAUAUAAAGGAUAGUUUGGAUACAUAUUGUUUCCAUAAUGUCUGUCAUACCGCCAUUCACUUAGGAUUAGGGAGCCAAAAUAAUGCGAAUCCAAAACGAAUUACUGAGAAAACACUGGCUGACAUCCGGACAAAUGAAGCAUGAAUAAAGAGGGACUGUGGGGGGUCCUGGGAACCUUCAUGCACCCCCCCAUGUGUAUUGUUGCACAAGAGACUCCUGGAGUAUUUCUUGCACUCCAGAAGGGCCCGGCAAGAUCGUAAGCACAUUGCUGAUUCUCAGCUACCUAUUUCUGAUCUUGCAGAGCCCUUUUGGAGCUCAGGGAGUAUUCCAUCUAGGGCUGUUGCACAACAGCAUGUUUAGGGGGACUGGGGGCAUGAGGGCUCCCGGAGCCCCUCUGCUGUCCCUCCUUAUGCACACUCUUUGUUAGUCAGGAUGUCAGCCAAUGUUUAGAAAUAUUAGAAAUAUAACUGUGAUGUUUGUAAGGAACUCUACCACACACAUCAAUGUUCCAUAUGGUUUUAGCUUUCAAGUAUCUUUUAAAAAAUAUUGGAUCAGACCAGGGAUUCCCAAAUUUGUGUCCCCAGAUGUUUUUGGAUUGCAGACCCUUUGGCUACUGUGGAUAGGGAUGAUGGGAGUUGUCCAGCAACAUCUGGGGAUUGAAGGUUGGGAACUCCUAGAUCAAGACACACAAAUUUCUAUCAGAAAUAAUUGUUUCUGUAGUAAGAGGACAUUGGCACCUUUUAAUAUCUCAAAUAAGGACUUUUUGAAUAUGGUAAUUAGAUCAUCUGUUACUGUGUCAACGCUUAUUCGUGUUAUUUGAUUAACAUUAUAGAAAUUCCUUCUCUUGUCAGUUUUGCUAUUACCAGUUGGCUGAUGUUGUUGGUCUCAAAUUAUAAAGAUUUAAUUUUCUACAUCCUCUGCAAAGGGCCUAUUUAUAAUUACCUUUUUGAACAAUUUUCGGCCAGAAUGACCAAAGUUGUUUGGUCUUCUGCUUUGAAUUCCAAUAGCUUAUCAUUUCUUAUUCGAUAAAGGCUCUCCAUUCACAAUAACAUACCCUUGACUCAUGAAGAGAGAAACAUCAAAGAGGAAAGAAUGCAAGAAACAAGUUGAACUGAACAGCACUGAAACAAUGUGAAGGCUUAUUGAGAGCUGGAGUUAAUGCUGAAUAUAAUCUCAGUCCAAUCAAUGGUAUUGUGCUUCAUCCGAUGAAAACCACAUUCAACAUAACUGCUGUUAGUUCCUGUUUAAAAUCCUAAUCAGAGAUGGUGCCAACGUGU